AGAUGGAGAAAGACGAGACUGUGAGCGACUCCUCUCCCCACAUAGCCAAUAUCGGACGCUUGGUAGAGGACAUGGAAAACAAAAUCAGAAGUACACUGAAUGAGAUUUAUUUUGGAAAAACAAAGGACAUCGUUAAUGGGCUGAGGUCUGUGCAGACUUUUGCAGACAAAUCAAAACAAGAAGCUCUUAAAAACGACCUGGUGGAGGCUUUGAAGAGAAAGCAGCAAAGUUAAAAUACUCUUCAUGCUAACAAGACAUGCCAUGCACUCGUUAGAUUCCUUUCUUAGAAAACUCAUCCCCCCCUUGCCCUUUUCUGUUACGUCACGUCACGAUUUGCAUUCAAUACUAUUCAUGCAGCAGCAUCUUCUCCCCAUGAAUAAAGCUGUACAAACUUUUUCAGUCUCUGAGGCCUACUUUGCACCACAUUUUACUAUUGAGACCUUAGGCUACGUUUCUGUAUGAGUCCAUGUAUUUUUUUUUUCCCCCCCUCUUCCACCCUCUCCCAUUUAUAUGCAUAAACACGGAUCAUUGUUUGUCUUUUCCUUCCCACCCCCUCCUGCCUUUUGUUACAUUGGUGUAAAAAAUGUAAAACAAAAAUUUAUUAAAUACUGUGGUGUGUGAAAGAGGAAGAACUGGAAAAAAAAAAAAAAUCUAUUCCACGUAUGUUUGGGGGCUGGGCACAGGGGACGGCUGGUGGGAGGGAGGGAAGAGAGGGUGUUCCUCGGUGUUGUACUAUACUGACUAAACCAGAUUUGCAAGGAGACGUUGAUUAGGAGACCUGCUGAAAGUCCUGCUCUUCUAUAGCCUGGUUCCAAGGCGCUUUUCUGUCAAUUUUUAUGGAAUGCAAAAGGGGUUUUUGUUUUGAUUUUGUUUUUUGUAAAGCUUAAAUUGAAUCUACAUCUGAUACUUGAGCCUCCAUACUAAAAAAAAAAAAUAAAAAUAAAAAAAAAG